rnacentral:rRNA from 1 species
UAGGGGAUCUUCCACAAUGGACGCAAGUCUGAUGGAGCAACGCCGCGUGAGUGAAGAAGGGCUUCGGCUCGUAAAGCUCUGUUGUUAAAGAAGAACGUGGGUAAGAGUAACUGUUUACCCAGUGACGGUAUUUAACCAGAAAGCCACGGCUAACUACGUGCCAG